UGACCUCCCGGGAAGUCCU
rnacentral:snRNA from 1 species